GCCCGGUUAGCUCAGUCGGUAGAGCGUACGACUUUUAAUCGUAUGGCCGCGGGUUCAAUUCCCGCAUCGGGUA
rnacentral:tRNA from 1 species